AAGUUGUGGGAUUUGUAAGAAGAACCAUGAUCAGCAUCUUCUUUUAUUGUGUGAUACUUGUAAACUACAUUACCAUCUUGGAUGUCUGGAUCCUCCUCUUACAAGGAUGCCAAGAAAGACCAAAAACAGUUACUGGCAGUGCUCAGAAUGUGACCAGGCAGGGAGCAGUGACAUGGAAGCAGACAUGGCCAUGGAAACCCUACCAGAUGGAACCAAACGAUCAAGGAGGCAGAUUAAGGAACCAGUGAAAUUUGUUCCACAGGAUGUGCCACCAGAACCGAAGAAGAUUCCGAUAAGAAACACGAGAACCAGAGGACGAAAACGAAGCUUCGUUCCUGAGGAAGAAAAACAUGAGGAAAGAGUUCCUAGAGAGAGAAGACAAAGACAGUCUGUGUUGCAAAAGAAGCCCAAGGCUGAAGAUUUAAGAACUGAAUGUGCAACUUGCAAGGGAACUGGAGACAAUGAAAAUCUUGUCAGGAAAUAAGGAGGGAAGUACAAAGAUUAUUGACUAUACAACCUACCAGCUGAAAGAAAGAUCUUCAUCAACAUCUGUAUCUUUCCAGAGGUAUACAGAAUUAAAAUUUGAUCUUCAAGCUUUAAUGAUCCAGUUUUAAGUCAACGGCAGAAAUAUGUUGAAUAUUUCAUCACUCAAUCUUGAACUCAUUUAGAAGAGACUCUUUCCUGAAAUUGAAUUGCACUUAUACAUGUAAAUUGUCAACAUGUUAUUUGGAAUUUUCUGAUUAAUAAAUGUGGUUUUGGACAUCUUUUCGGGUAUAGUGACAAUGGAAAAUA
rnacentral:sRNA from 1 species